rnacentral:lncRNA from 1 species
AAAUUAGAGUUCCUUAAGAAAUUAAAAUGUUUAUUCCAUUAUAAUGAAUAUUGUAUACUGUCAAAAAAUAUCUUGUAAUUUGAAAGAUGGGUGAGCCAAUUUCUUUAGAAUUCCAGUGGGUGUUUUGUUUUAAUAUAAACAUUUCAACUCAGUGGGAAGUGGCAAGGAAUUAAAGAUGAAUAAAGAAGUAAAGGUUAAAAACUGUACUGUUAUGAAAGGAUUUCUUGUUAGCAACUUAGACAAUUCAGUAUCAGUUUAGAAAACGUACAUUCUAUCUUGGUUCAUAAUGGCCAAAUACGUUGCCAUCAGAAAUACAUAGAGAGUUUCAGCUAAGCCCUCUUAGAGAUGUCUGAUGCUUUUAAAUAUCUUUAAUCAGAAUGAAAGUUGCCAUUCCAUGGAUAAUGCAUAUAAGCUCACUUUGUUUUACUGCAUUCAGGUUGAUGAGGGGUGGGAGGGAAGGUUUCAGGAUCACAUCUGUAUGCUUCCAUCUUAUUUUUACCAUAACUCUCAUUCUUCUUUCCUCCUGGAAAUUCCAUGUAUCUUAACAAACAACAGUAAGCCUAUGAGUCAUCAUCAUACUUACCUUGCUUUUGCUGAGUAUGGAGCUUUGCACUAGGAUUUCUCUCCUGCCCUAUUUCCCAAUUUAAAGAACAUUCCUUAGUCCUUCCUUCAGAUGUCUGAGAAUCACCUUAAACGUGGCUUUGCGUUUAAAUUAGGUAACUUAGUGUCUUAUAAGAAAGAAACAUGAAAAUCCAGAAAUCAAAUUGAAUGGUUUUUAAAAAAUACUUAGUCACUUGGGCCAGCU